rnacentral:rRNA from 1 species
CCUACGGGAGGCAGCAGUGAGGAAUAUUGGUCAAUGGCCGGAAGGCUGAACCAGCCAUGCCGCGUGAAGGUCAGUGCCCUAUGGGCGUUAAACUUCUUUUGUGCGGGAGCAAUAAUGGUCACGUGUGGCCAGACGAGAGUACCGUACGAAUAAGCAUCGGCUAACUCCGUGCCAGCAGCCGCGGUAAUACGGGGGAUGCAAGCGUUAUCCGGAGUUAGGGGGGUUAAAGGGUGCGUAGGCUGGUAGGUAAGGCAGCGGUGAAAUGCCCCCGCUCAACGGGGUGAAGUGCCAUUGAUACUGGCUUGCUGGAAUGCGGAUGCCGUGGGAGGAAUGUGUGGUGUAGCGGUGAAAUGCAUAGAUAUCACACAGAACACCGAUUGCGAAGGCAUCUAACGGAUCCGCGAUUGACGCUGAUGCACGAAAGCGUGGGUAUCAAACAGGAUUAGAUACCCGAGUAGUC